rnacentral:rRNA from 1 species
UACAGAGGGUGCGAGCGUUGUCCGGAAUCACUGGGCGUAAAGGGCGCGUAGGUGGUGGCUUAAGCGUGCGGUGAAAGCUCGGGGCUCAACUCCGAGUCGGCCGUGCGAACUGGGCUCACUGGAGCAUAGUAGAGGCAGGUGGAAUUCCGGGUGUAGCGGUGGAAUGCGUAGAGAUCCGGAAGAACACCGGUGGCGAAGGCGGGUCUCUGGGCCGAUACUGGACGCUGAGACGCGAAAGCGUGGGGAGCAAACAGG